UCGAAUCAAGGGAAUGGGACUUCCCUGUGAUAAACCGCUAAUGAAGUAGCUGAUAGUUCCUACCGGAGC
rnacentral:ncRNA from 22 species